UACGUAGGGUGCAAGCGUUAAUCGGAAUUACUGGGCGUAAAGCGUGCGCAGGCGGUUUUGUAAGUCUGUCGUGAAAUCCCCGGGCUCAACCUGGGAAUUGCGAUGGAGACUGCAAGGCUAGAAUCUGGCAGAGGGGGGUAGAAUUCCACGUGUAGCAGUGAAAUGCGUAGAGAUGCGGAGGAACACCGAUGGCGAAGGCAGGCCCCCUGGGCCUGACACUGGACGCUGAGGCACGAAAGCGUGGGGAGCAAACAGGA
rnacentral:rRNA from 1 species